AUAAGUUGUACAUAUGUUCCCCAAAUCAUCACACAGAAACAGUAGGUGUAUCUGGAGCCCUUAUAUUUGAAGGCUUCCGAGGUACCAAUGACUUUAACAGUCUGAGACCAGCCCCAAGGCCAUCAUCUGAUGGGCCAGUAUAGGAGACUCCAGUACCGAUAUGUAGUCUCUGGUUACCAUAAAUGCUUGGGGAGUUGAUUUCAAGAGUAUUGAUGUCGCAGUUAUUAGCACCAGGCAUGAAGAUGUCGAUAGAAUUGAUGCCAAGGUCACUGAUAUCGAAGGAAUGGCAAUGUGUACCAGCUUCAUUAGUACCAAAGUUGAUUCUUGAGCCUUUCUAGUUUUGAGCUACCUAUGAACACUACAGAGUUGGAAGUCUUAGGGUCUUUUGACUGGCCUCGAUAUGGAGAACUGUUCCUCUUUUCCUCUUUUCUAUGAGGUUUUCUGCUCUCUAUUACAGGUUGAGGAUCUCAGUGACAGAACAGCUGAAAUUCUAGCUGAUGAAGUACUUCUUGCAGAGCUGUAUUCUGCUUAAUCAGUCCCGGGCUGGCCUGGAUCAGAGGCUGGACACAGACUCUGAGUUCCCAGCACAACUCCCAGAAGCAACAGACCACUAUCCUGGGAAGGACAGGAAUGCUUCAAGGAAAUACUUCACACAGACCAGUAAAGACUUAUGAAUCUGAAGAGAUGACUGUCCACUGGGAUGAAAAUGAACUCUCCAGAGGACAGCCUGCAGAAGGUAAGGACAAAUAGCUACAAACCUUUAUGCCCCUGCCUGGGAGCUCAGAGAAAAGAUUCUUUUCAUGUCAGGAUUAUUGGUGGGCAGGUGGUUGGGGGAGGAUCUCAGUUAUCUGUGCUUUGAACUCUGGGAGCAGAUUUACUAAAGAUUUUAUAAAGAAGUAACUUUUCUCUGAGGAAAGAGAACUUAGGUCUCCUUCUCUGGGAGGCUGGCACAGGAAGAGAGGUGCUUUGGUAUGUGACAAAUCACAUCAGUGUGACAUCUUGCAUUUCUCUACAGAACCUAUCCCUUUUGAAGGCAAAGGCUAUCUUCUAAAUUAUGACAAGAUAUCCUCCACUCCAUCUAUGGCCUAAUGCAUAUGCUCUGUGUGCCCCUGAGUAAACUGGAAGUUAACUUGAGGGUACCUUGGGCAAUUACACUAAUCCAAAAGGAUUCUGGGUACGUUUUUCCUUAACUUUCAGAGACAGAAUAAAAGAAAAACCUCAUCCUACUAUAACUAACA
rnacentral:lncRNA from 1 species